UCGACUGUUUAUCAAAAACAUAUUUAAUAGAUAUUAUUAUUAAUAUAACCUGCUCAAUGAUAUUUAAAUAGCCGCAGCUCAUACUGUGCUAAGGUAGCAUAAUCAUUUGUCUUUUAAUUAAAGACUAGAAUGAAUGGUAUAACAUUUAAAUUAUUAUAUUAAAUUUUAAUUUUUAAUUUAUUAUAAAUGUAAAAAAACAUUUAUAAUUUAGAAAGACGACAAGACCCUAUCGAACUUAACUUAAGUUUAACUGGGGCAGUUAAUUAAUAAUUAUUUUAAUUCAAAUUAAAAAAAAAAUGACCUGAUAUAAUCCAUUAAUUGAUCAAGUUACCGUAGGGAUAACAGCGUAAUAAUUUUUUAUAGAUCUUAUAUAAAAAAAAGUUUGCGACCUCGAUGUUGAAUUAGUUUAUCUAUUAUAAGCAAUAUUUUAAUAAGAAAGUCUGUUCGACUUUUAAACAAUUACAUGAUUUGAGUUCAGACCGGUGUAAACCAGGUCGGUUUUCUAUCUUA
rnacentral:rRNA from 1 species